ACUCCGUCGCGGUCCUGCGACAGGUCUCAAAGAUNACGACGGCGUCUGUCCGACCCUCGAUGCAACGAGCUUUUUAUGGCACGCAUGGAAGUGGUCUGGUCGGCCCGGUCUGAACCAUUAUUUUUCACGGUUGACCUCGGAUCAGGUAGGAGUACCCGCUGAACUUAAGCAUAUCAAUAAGCGGAGGAAAAGAAACCAACAGGGAUUACCCUAGUAACGGCGAGUGAAGCGGUAACAGCUCAAAUUUGAAAUCUGGCCUUGACCGGUCCGAGUUGUAAUUUGUAGAGGAUGUUUCGGGCAAGGCUCUGGUUUAAAUUUCUUGGAACAGAAUGUCAUAGAGGGUGAGAGUCCCGUCUAGAACCGGGGGCCGCGUCCAUGUGAAACUCCUUCGACGAGUCGAGUUGUUUGGGAAUGCAGCUCAAAAUGGGUGGUAAAUUUCAUCUAAAGCUAAAUAUUGGCCAGAGACCGAUAGCGCACAAGUAGAGUGAUCGAAAGAUGAAAAGUACUUUGAAAAGAGAGUUAAACAGUAUGUGAAAUUGUUGAAAGGGAAGCGCUUGCAACCAGACUUGCGUGUGACGGUUCCCCCGGUCUUCUGACCGGGCUACUCCGUCAUGUCCAGGCCAGCAUCGGUUCGGGUGGUUGGUUAAAGGCCCCGGGAAUGUAUCUACCUCCGGGUCGACUUAUAGCCCGGGGUGUAAUGCGGCCUACCUGGACCGAGGAACGCGCUUUUGCUCGGAUGCUGGCGUAAUGGUUGUAAGCGGCC
rnacentral:rRNA from 1 species